AUUAUGGCUCAGGAUGAACGCUAGCUACAGGCUUAACACAUGCAAGUCGCGGGGCAGCAUGUCGGUUGCUGCAACCGAUGAUGGCGACCGGCGCACGGGUGAGUAACGCGUAUCCAACCUUCCCCAUAGUAGGGUACAGCCCGGCGAAAGUCGGAUUAAUGCCCUAUGUUCUUCGCAGAUGGCAUCUGAUGUGAAGCAAAGGUAUUCCGCUAUGGGAUGGGGAUGCGUCUGAUUAGCUUGCCGGCGGGGUAACGGCCCACCGGGGCGACGAUCAGUAGGGGUUCUGAGAGGAAGGUCCCCCACACUGGUACUGAGACACGGACCAGACUCCUACGGGAGGCAGCAGUGAGGAAUAUUGGUCAAUGGGCGGGAGCCUGAACCAGCCAAGUAGCGUGCCAGGAUGACGGCCCUACGGGUUGUAAACUGCUUUUAUGCGGGGAUAAAGUUCGCCAUGCGUGGUGUUUUGCAUGUACCGCAUGAAUAAGGACCGGCUAAUUCCGUGCCAGCCGCCGC
rnacentral:rRNA from 1 species